CCAAACAAACAUGCAAUCCACUAAAAUAUGGAGCCAACAAAUACCCUACAAUAUUUGAGAGAAAAUCCCAAUAAUCACACAAUCCCCUAAGAGGAAACACUUGGCAACAGUGGAAAAGAAGAACUCUCUUUUAACAGGAAGAGACCAGAACCAAACUUAGGGAGGGGUGGUUUUCUGCUAUAAACAACUGGGGGAGAUGAGGGAAAAGGAAAGAAAAGAACAUAGAAAGAUGACGAUAAAACACAAACUGGGGUUGAGUAGACAAACAUCACAUCAUGGCACAUCAAUGGAAUUGUAGUGUUCAGUGCAUCACCGGAAGUCCUGUUGCAGCACAACUAAGUAGAGGACUGUGAUAGCUGAAGUCUGUCUUCCAUUCUACUUUUAGGACAACAAGUAAGCCUCCACUCAAAGAGAAAAGUACUGUCUUAAGCUGAUAACGUGAUCAUCACAGUAUCAUGAACUACUGUAUGCAGGUAUCAAGCCACCAAAGUCAAGUAUUCUGAGAGACACAUCCAAGGAAUGAAUGAAUAAAUAAAUAAAUACAAUUUAUCAUACACUUUACAUUACAUACAGUACAUUCCCUUGAGUAAAUACCAUAUUUACACAUGCUAUCUGGGUGACUGGAUGUGAGGCAGCCUCUCGCUACAAGUUGCACGAUACGGAUCAGUCAUUUGUGUGGAAACACGGCCACAUCAAGUCACUUUGCCGGAGCCUUUACCCUCGUAGAUCGAACCCCUUCCUCUGGAGCCGUGGCUCCACUGACCCAGCCCGCCAGACCUGUCCGGAGGGUGAGCGUGCCGAGGAGGGGAGCCAGAUAAGCUAGACGGAGAGCGGCUACGGCCCUGCAGUGCCCCGCCGUCGCGGAGCUCCCGGGACGGGGAGGAGCUGAGCGAACGCUGUAGGGAGGAAGAUGAGCUGCGAGGGCAAGGAGGCGGGCUGAAGAGCAUCCCGCUGCGGUCCUGCAUCAGCUGGGUCAGGCUCGCCAGGAAGUCUGCGUCGCUGGUGCUGCUGGCACGCACCCUUAACCGCCGCCGUCUGCAAAAAAAACAAAAAAACAAAACUAAUUCUCAGCAGCUAUUUGAAUUACUGUGUAUUAGUAUUAGCUGCUAUCAUUAGGAUUAUUACAUAUUUAUUUAUCGUUCUAAUUUAUUAUAGCAAAGAACCUACUUUUUAUUAUUCUGUUAUUUUAAUAGUAUGAUUGUUUAUGUUUGUCUGUAUACAC
ensembl:lncRNA